AACGAACGCUGGCGGCAUGCCUAACACAUGCAAGUCGAACGAUCCCUUCGGGGAUAGUGGCGCACGGGUGCGUAACGCGUGGGAACCUGCCCUUAGGUUCGGAAUAACUCAGAGAAAUUUGAGCUAAUACCGGAUAAUGUCUUCGGACCAAAGAUUUAUCGCCUUUGGAUGGGCCCGCGUUGGAUUAGCUAGUUGGUGGGGUAAAGGCCUACCAAGGCGACGAUCCAUAGCUGGUCUGAGAGGAUGAUCAGCCACACUGGGACUGAGACACGGCCCAGACUCCUACGGGAGGCAGCAGUGGGGAAUAUUGGACAAUGGGCGAAAGCCUGAUCCAGCAAUGCCGCGUGAGUGAUGGAGGCCUUAGGGUUGUAAAGCUCUUUUACCCGGGAUGAUAAUGACAGUACCGGGAGAAUAAGCCCCGGCUAACUCCGUG
rnacentral:rRNA from 1 species